rnacentral:rRNA from 1 species
CUUUACUGUAGCCUGUUAUUGGGUUCGGGCUUUGACUACGCAGGAUAGGUGGGAGGCGUUGAGAUAUUCCUUGUGGGGAAUGUGGAGCCAACGGUGAGAUACCACUCUGGUGAGGCUAGAAUUCUAACCCGAUGCCGUGAACCGGCUCGGGAACAGUUUCAGGCGGGCAGUUUGACUGGGGCGGUCGCCUCCUAAAAGGUAACGGAGGCGCGCAAAGGUUCUCUCAGGCUGGUUGGAAAUCAGCCGUAGAGUGUAAAGGCAUAAGAGAGCUUGACUGCGAGACAAACACGUCGAGCAGGGUGGAAACACGGCCUUAGUGAUCCGACGGCGCUGCGUGGAAAGGCCGUCGCUAAACGGAUAAAAGUUA